GUCUCUGUGGCACAAAUGGUUAGCACAUUUGGCUAUUAACCAAAAGGUUGGUGGUUUCAGCCCACUCAGGGAUG
rnacentral:tRNA from 1 species